UAAGGAAUAGGGUUAGCUCUCUUUGCCUUCUCUUGCUAUCUUCAAAGUAAUUUGUCAUAGAGAUCACCCACAGUCCUCCUCAUUUUAGUGCAGUGGCGAAGGAAGGAAGAGUCACUCAGUGCACCGAGUCGUCUCACAGGAAUAUUGCAGGAGUCUAAGAGUCGGCCGCCGUGGACUCCACCAGAGGCACCGGGAGUGCAUGAGCUCAGCCAAUGAAUGAAACUCCACGUGAUCAAAUUGUGAAACUGCGUGCGCGGCAAUAAUUAACCAUGGUUUUAGUCAAAUGCUUAUCAAUUUUCAAGAGAGAGAGAUGGCUGAGGCAGACAUGGGUAGAGCCAAAACUCAACCCCAACAUAUUAUCUAUUGGAAUAUACAUAAAAUAUUAUAUUUUUUCGUUUAUUUCAUAUUUGUUGAUAUUGUAUAUUCUCUAUUUAUGAAUUGAUUAAGAUUUAAUACCAUACUCAAAGAAAGCAGAUGGAGUCUUCAAGGAAAGACAGCUCUUGUCACGGGCGGAACAAAUAUAAAAGUCAUCAAUCCAUCAUGCGCAAUAAGAACUUCUCUCUGUUUUUUCUUUUCUUUUCUUUUUUCUUAAUACAAUAGUCGUUAUUUGUGUCAAAUUUUCUGAUGAAUUUUAUGUUGGUAUAGAUUUAGGAUUGCUAGCUUCGUUCUUAACCUUCAUGAGUGCCUGCAUGUAAUUAAACUCUACGAUAAAAUUUCAUUAAAUUAGAGGUAUACUUUUCCAACAUAUCCACACUGGAGGGUCCUCGAUCUCCAUUUCAACUAGGGGAUCCAAAUUCAUCCGCACCAAGGGUCUCAAGGCGAGCUAAUUACACUAACAACGACAUCAGUUCAGAUAUUAGCCUAUAAGAGAUUCUCUAUCUAAAGCUUUUAUGUAUUUACUCUAUACCCUAUAAAUAAGAACCUUUGUAUUAUAGACAAAAAAAUGAAACACAAUGUAAUCUAAGUGCCAUUUAAAGUGAUGAACGUAGGUGUUCAUCACGGAACCAUACGUAAUUCUUGUGUAUCUUUCUCUCCAUGCUCCUCUAUUAUUUUCCUAUUUUAUAUUUUUCGUAUAUUCUAACAUUAACCAUCCAGUUAUUUAAACCAUAAUUUUGCACAGUGAAAAGCAAAAGAUAAAUUACACAUUCAUAAAAUGUUAGCUUCUCUCGCUGUGCUUGCCCUUUUGUUUUCUUGGUCAACAAAUCGUCUUCGUCUUUCAUGGGAGCCAUUGUGAUCUCUCUCUCUCUCUCUUUCUCACCCAUCAUCUUGUCUUCCAUGGAGCCACAGUCACCGCAAGCCAAUCGUCUUCCAUGAGAGCAUCGUCAUCUCUCUCCUAUCGUCAGAUCACGUGGUAGAUGCCCUAACUAUGGUAGAAAUCAACAAUUGAGAAGAGCUGCACACCGUUUUUUGGUUUUAGUCCUAAUUCUAGUUUUUAAUCUAUUUUUUAUAAUCUUUUGGGAUUUUAGUUCAAUUUCAAAAACUUGUGUUGGAAAUUUUUAGACUUGGUCAUGGCGCUCCUGGAGACAGGGAAUGAGAUGGGGUUUGGACCUUUUUUUUUUUUUUUCCUAAGAGAAAUAACAAAUGUAAGAGACAUGCAUGUACUUCUCCAUUUACUAUUAAUCUUUUUCUCAAACCAACCAUUGAUCUUACAUCUUAUUUUAUAUGCUUUAGGAUGCAUGUGAUAGUGUUAUUUCCACACUUUUAUGCAUAGCUCUCAUGUGUGUUAUUAAAUUUUAAUUUUAAUUCAAAACAAUGAUAAGAUGAAAAAUGUGC
rnacentral:lncRNA from 1 species